UGGCGGCAUGGAUUAGGCAUGCAAGUCGAACGGAGAAGCAGGUGCUUGCACCUGUGGAUUAGUGGCGAAAGGGUGAGUAACGCGUGAGUAAUCUGCCCCUAAGUUGGGAAUAGCCUCGGGAAACUGGGAUUAAUACCGAAUGUGGUCCCCGUCGCAUGACGGAAAGUUUAAAGAUUUAUCGCUUAGAGAUGAGCUCGCGUCCCAUUAGCUAGUUGGUGGGGUAACGGCCUACCAAGGCACCGAUGGGUAGCUGGUCUGAGAGGAUGAUCAGCCACACUGGGACUGAGACACUGCCCAGACUCCUACGGGAGGCUGCAGUCGAGAAUCUUCCGCAAUGGGCGAAAGCCUGACGGAGCAAUGCCGCGUGCAGGAUGAAGGCCUUAGGGUUGUAAACUGCUGUCACCGGGGACGAAAUUUGACGGUACCCGGAGAGGAAGCACCGGCUAACUACGUGCCAGCAGCCGCGGUAAUACGUAGGGUGCAAGCGUUGUUCGGAUUUAUUGGGCGUAAAGGGUCCGCAGGGGGUUUACUAAGUCUGAUGUGAAAUCCCGUGGCUCAACCACGGAACUGCAUUGGAAACUGGUAAACUAGAGUACUGGAGAGGUAAACGGAAUUCCUGGUGUAGCGGUGGAAUGCGUAGAUAUCAGGAAGAACACCGAAAGCGAAGGCGGCUCUCUGGAAUGUUACUGACGCUGAGGCACGAAAGCUGGGGGAGCAAACAGGAUUAGAUACCCUGGCAUUCCCAGCCGGAAACGGUGUCGACUUGGUGUGGGGGGAAUUGACCCCCUCCGUGCCGGAGCUAACGCGAUAAGUCGACCGCCUGGGGAGUACGACCGCAAGGUUAAAACUCAAAGAAAUUGACGGGGGCCCGCACAAGCGGAGGAGCAUGUGGCUUAAUUCGAUGCAACGCGAAGAACCUUACCCAGACUUGACAUAUAACUGCACGUCCUAUGAAAGUAGGAUUUCUUCGAGAGUGUUAUACAGGUGCUGCAUGGCUGUCGUCAGUUCGUGCCGUGAGGUGUUUGGUUAAGUCCAGCAACGAACGCAACCCUUGUGACUAGUUGCCACCGUAGGUGAUGAGCCUACGAGCACUCUAGUCAGACUGCCCUUGCAAGAGGGAGGAAGGUGGGGAUGACGUCAAGUCAGUAUGGCCCUUACGUCUGGGGCUGCACACGUGCUACAAUGGCCGGUACAGAAGGCUGCAAUACCGCGAGGUGGAGCUAAUCCCUAAAACCGGCCCCAGUUCGGAUUGGAGUCUGCAACUCGACUCCAUGAAGUUGGAUUCGCUAGUAACGGCGUAUCAGCUACGACGCCGUGAAUACGUUCCCGGGCCUUGUACACACCGCCCGUCACAUCAUGAAAGCCGUCUGCACCCGAAGUCGUUGAUCUAACCAUUUAUGGAGGAAGGCGCCGAAGGUGUGG
rnacentral:rRNA from 1 species